rnacentral:rRNA from 1 species
UACGAGGGGUCCAAACGUUAUUCGGAAUCACUGGGCUUACAGAGUUCGUAGGCGGUACGGCAAGUGGGGUGUGAAAGCCCUCGGCUCAACCGAGGAACUGCGCUCCAAACUACCGUGCUAGAGGAAGAUAGAGGUGAGCAGAACUGAUGGUGGAGCGGUGAAAUGCGUUGAUAUCAGCAGGAAUACCGGAGGCGAAGGCGGCUCACUGGGUCUUUUCUGACGCUGAGGAACGAAAGCUAGGGGAGCAAACGGG